rnacentral:rRNA from 1 species
GGAAUCUUGGACAAUGGGGGCAACCCUGAUCCAGCCAUGCCGCGUGAGCGAUGAAGGCCCUAGGGUUGUAAAGCUCUUUCACCCGCGAAGAUACUGACGGUAGCGGGAGAAGAAGCCCCCGCGGCCUCCGUGCCAGCCGCCGCGGUAAUACGGAGGGGGCUAGCGUUGUUCGGAAUUACUGGGCGUAAAGCGCGCGUAGGCGGAUGUUCAAGUCGGGGGUGAAAGCCCGGGGCUCAACCCCGGAACUGCCUCCGAUACUGGACGUCUGGAGGACGGGAGAGGCGAGUGGAAUGCCGAGUGUAGAGGUGAAAUUCGUAGAUAUUCGGCGGAACACCCGUGGCGAAGGCGGCUCGCUGGUCCGUUUCUGACGCUGAGGCGCGAAAGCGUGGGGAGCAAAC